rnacentral:lncRNA from 1 species
GUGGAAAGUUGACACAAUAGCCUGGAUCUUGUUCAGUAGGGGUCUUCCCAGAAUGAUGUUGUAGGCCAUUAGGGUGUUAACCACUUGGAAUGGUGUGAUCUCCGUCACUUGUGUACUACUAGCUCCUAAUGUAAGCGGGAGCUCGACGAUGCCUUCAGGGAUAAUGAUUCCACCACCAAAUCCUUGUAGGGGAUUUUUUACUGCUUUGAGCUGCUUGGGAGAGAUUCCCAUUUUGGCGAAAGCCUCCUGCCAAAGUAUGUUCACGGCACUCCCAUUAUCAACCAGAAUCCUCCUUACUUCGAAGUUAGCCACAACCGCAGAAACGACCAAGGCCUCAUCAUGAGGAUAUGAUAUUUCUUCCAAAUCUCUUACACCAAAAGUGAUGUCUUUAACUUCAUCACUGGAUUCUCUUGGGGUAUGAGCAUGUUGGCGGGCAUACUGCUUCCGCCCACUACUUGUGUCUUCACCGGAUGCUAUGUCCCCAACGAUAAUAUUAAUGGUUCCGACAGUGGGUUGAGCACUGCUUCCAGCCCCAGGCUCUUUCUGAUUGUCCCGGUCAUUCCUUGGCCGUUUAUCAUGACCAAUGUAAUUCUUUAAAAAUUUUCUUUUGAUAAGGGCUUCAAUUUCCCAUCGUAAAGCAUGAUAGUCCUCUGUAGUAUGCCCAUGAUCUCGGUGAAAUUCGCAAUACUUGCUCCUAUCUCUUGUGUCAGGGGGCGACUUCAUCCUUGAAGGCCACUUUAAUUCUUUCA